UACAGAGGUCUCAAGCGUUGUUCGGAUUCAUUGGGCGUAAAGGGUGUGUAGGUGGCGCGCUAAGUCGGGUGUGAAAUUUCGGAGCUUAACUCCGAAACUGCAUCCGAUACUGGCGUGCUUGAGGACUGGAGAGGAGACUGGAAUUCAUGGUGUAGCAGUGAAAUGCGUAGAGAUCAGGAGGAAGACCAGUGGCGAAGGCGGGUCUCUGGACAGUUCCUGACACUGAGACACGAAGGCCAGGGGAGCAAACGGG
rnacentral:rRNA from 1 species